CUCUCUGAAAAAUGCAAACGUCAUGAAAGUAGUCGCAGCCAUCUUGAUAAGAGCAUGAAGUUUUUUGGCAGAUUUAGCAUUGCUGAACAACUAGAUGAAGGCUACAGGAUUGGCAUUAGAAGGCACGUCAAAGAGGUGACAUAAAAUCAACACAUACUUUUCCCUAAUAACCCAAAU